rnacentral:rRNA from 1 species
UACGGGGGGAGCAAGCGUUGUUCGGAUUUACUGGGCGUAAAGGGCGCGUAGGCGGCCAGCACAAGUCAGUUGUGAAAUCUCCGAGCUUAACUCGGAAAGGUCAACUGAUACUGUGCGGCUAGAGUGCGGAAGGGGCAACUGGAAUUCUUGGUGUAGCGGUGAAAUGCGUAGAUAUCGAGGGGAACACCUGCGGCGAAGGCGGGUUGCUGGGCUGACACUGACGCUGAAGCGCGAAAGCUAGGGGAGCGAACGGG